UCAAUAGUCAAUCACCACUGUUUCCUAUGGUGUGGUCUACUUGAGAUUUGGAUCUGCUUAAGUUUCGGCCACGUCCUCAAAUGAACUGGAAAAAUGGACGGACGGUAUGGAUGUACGACACAUGAAUCAAGGUGGGCCCACGGUCACGGCUUGACCGAACAAGCCAGGCCCCAAAUGACUGAAUACUCGCCUCGUAUCGUAACUGUGGUACUGGCCACCGUACACUAUCAAAAAUCACAGGAUGCUAGAGAAGGAAAAGGAAUCGAGAAGGAACCGUCUCGAAGGAGGGGAGGAAAAAGAGAGAGAGAGAGAGAGAGACAGAGAGGGAGAGAGAUGGAGAAGUAUAUCGGGAAUCCGUACAGGGGCGACCCGGGCGUUCGGCACGUCGACUCGGACCGUUUCGUUAACAUAUGGAUUAGAGCGUUCGCCUUCUCUGCAAUCACCUAGUUCAAUCCCUACACGUGGCAGCACUUCAACGUCUACAGGGGUUCCGAGAAAGCCAGUCAUGACCCAUGACGAUCUCUUCAAAAUCAAUUACAACAUCAACAUUGAUGCAAACAUCGUCUGAACCCUGCUUGAGGCUGUUGCAGAUACAUAACUGCCCAGAUGCUUUCAUCCACAUCAUCAGUAACCCAGUCAAUUCUACUGUUCCAAUUACUACAGAGGUUCUCAAGCAGAAGAGCGUGUACAAAGAAGCUUUUUGGUGUUAACAACCCUGAGUGAUUGCCAGAGCAAACACGUUUGUUGCACAGAAGAAUAUGUUGAUGUUGAUGUCCUAGUUUUUGGGGAGAAUGCUGGAAUCUUUAUCUUAGCGUUGCUGUUGAAGACAACUAUUGGUAAGGUUUUCAGAUAUAGUGCUAGAAAAGCUGACAGUGAGAGUUCAAAAUCCUGUGACAGAGGUUGUUGCAGCAAAAUCAGGUGCUGGGUCAGCAACAGUGUCUAUGUCAAAUGCAGCAGCAAGAUUUGUAGGGUGGCCUCUCCUAGUCGGAGCUGACUGAGCUUCCCCUUUGUGUCAUGGGUGAAGCUUGGGAAGCCAUGUGUUGAAGCUGUGAUAUCAUUAUCAGCUGAUGUUCAAGGACUCCAGAGGCCCUGAAGCCAGAGCUGAAGAAUUUUCAUUUGGCAAUAUUUUUGGUGCAUGGACCUGAAGCCCAUACUGUCAACAGUUUGGAUUACUGCAUAACGGGCCCCACUUGAAAAAACUGAAAACUCUAGUGCAAGUAUCCAAGCUCCCCCUAUUUCUGCGGAGUGUGUUUGUUGGUGGGCAGGCACUCAGAAAUUGUACAUGUGGCAAAUAUUAACUCAAACCAAGUUGUGGAACCUACUGUAGCCAAGUCUCUGUCCCAAAAUAAGAUUGGUUGAGCAAUCCUAACCUCUGUGUUGUAGAGAGUUGUUUGUUGAAACAGGACCAUCGGAUGUUUUUCAAUUUUUACGGCCCAAUAGAUGUCUGCCAAUGCACUAUUCAGAUUAUCAAAGAAGAGUAAUUUUUGGUUCAUGAUACAUUCAAACUGGGACUUGUAAUUUGGACAGUUUAAUUUGAAAUACUUGUAUGCCAA